CGACGGACAGGUGUCUCCAACGUCUCAUAAACGCAGAAAUGACACAAGCAUUCCGGUGGCAGAGAUCAGAAAAGUACCCAGCUUCAAAAGAGUUAGUUUAAAUAGCAUCGAUGUGCUCAUCAUAUCUACGCUGACGUCUCAAAAUCUUGGCAUGGAUCCAAACGUUGAAUGGACCACCAACGUAGCAUCUGCUAAUCACCCAUCAACCUCGGACUAUUCUCAACCGUCCCCGAGCGCUCGUUUCGGGAAUCAAAGAAAAAUAGAUGAUAUGGAAUCAGCUGAUAACCCAAUUGAAACAGAUCGACAUCCUUCGUCCUCGGUUGUGACGCAGAUAACCGAGCAGUUAAAUAGAAUGGAAGUGGUACAUUUUGCGAAUGACUCAAGU